rnacentral:rRNA from 1 species
GGGUUGUGAGGUUAAGCGACUAAGCGUACACGGUGGAUGCCCUGGCAGUCAGAGGCGAUGAAGGGCGUGCUAAUCUGCGAUAAGCGCCGGUAAGGUGAUAUGAACCGUUAUAACCGGCGAUACCCGAAUGGGGAAACCCAGUGUGACUCGUCACACUAUCAUUAACUGAAUCCAUAGGUUAAUGAGGCGAACCGGGGGAACUGAAACAUCUAAGUACCCCGAGGAAAAGAAAUCAACCGAGAUUCCCCCAGUAGCGGCGAGCGAACGGGGAGGAGCCCAGAGCCUGAAUCAGCAUGUGUGUUAGUGGAAGCGUCUGGAAAGGCGCGCGAUACAGGGUGACAGCCCCGUACACAAAAGCGCAUGUGCUGUGAGCUCGAUGAGUAGGGCGGGACACGUGGUAUCCUGUCUGAAUAUGGGGGGACCAUCCUCCAAGGCUAAAUACUCCUGACUGACCGAUAGUGAACCAGUACCGUGAGGGAAAGGCGAAAAGAACCCCGGCGAGGGGAGUGAAAAAGAACCUGAAACCGUGUACGUACAAGCAGUGGGAGCACAGGUUUACCUGUGUGACUGCGUACCUUUUGUAUA